GUUCUUCCUCAGUUUCAGUCUGCAAAAGCAUAUCAUCAACAUAUUGUAACAAGCAUUCUGGCCUAGAAAUGCCUGAUGAAAAUAUGUUGGAGAACUGUGAAAUCCCUGGGGUAACACAGUAAACACAUAUUGCUGAUUUUGAAAUGUAAAAGCAAACUUAUAUUGAUAACUAUGCUUCAGUGGUACAGAGAAAAACCCAUUACUUACAUCUGGUACUGAGUAUACUUUAGCCGUUGACAUCAAUCGUGACAUCAUAUCUGGGGUUUCAGCUACCACAUGUGCAGAAGGUGGUGUGUAUUUAUUUAAUGUUGUUAAAUCAAUUGUUAAUCUCCAGGAAUUUGAUUAUUUUUUCAACACUGGCCACAGAUUAUGAUUGCAUGGACUAUUUGCUUUUCUAAUUAUUCCUCUCUGUUCCAAAUCAUUAAUGACACUUGCAAUAGAAUCAAUUGAAUCUGGGGGUACUCUUUACUGCCUCUGUGGGGGUGGAUCAGGACCUUGAAUGUCAAUCAGCACAUUUUUAAAUCUUCCACAUUCAUUCUUACUUUGUGCCCAUAAAUCUGGAUAACUCUGGAUAAGUUCAAGGUUAUCCCUAGUAUUAGGCCAUUGCAUUUCUGUAGACACUACAUCUACUGGACAAACAAUUCCUAGCUCCCCAUAUUCAAUAGGAUCCAAUAGCACUGGUUUCCUACCCUUAGCAUCUUUCCAAAUAGCUUUGUUUCCCAAAUCAACAAUCCAAC